AUAUUAUCAACCUCUUUAAGUUUUUGCUUGUUGAGUGUUGGAUGUGGGGGUUUCUUUCUCUGCUGGUCUUUUUACGAGGUCAGCUCCCCUAAAAUACAUUAGCGGAACAAUUUGACCGUUUAUUGGUGUGAUAACUAAUCUACGCUAUUGACGGACAGUUCAGCUUCUAAUAGUCCAUUGACUUGGACAAUUUUCAUUA
rnacentral:misc_RNA from 1 species